CUUCCCAUAAUCAAUAUGUUUAACAGAAAGUGGCUGCAGAGACUAAUGUCUUAGCAAGGGGGUGGGACUAAGACUCUCCAUUUCACGGUGAGCACUGAGCAUGCAAGUACAUGUUUAAACCCUGGAUGAAACCUCUUUGUUCGACUUAUUUGCAAUGAGGAGAAGGAAGACUGUGGAUAACUCAUAUUGUGGAUUAUGAACAAUGUCAUCUCCCAUUCAACUUAGGAUGUUUCAGAAAAAGCUACACACAAUACCAGCCACCGUGGCAUAUUUUAUAAUUCUUCUUCACUUAGUCAACAGCAAAGGUGUUAUCGACCUAUAUGCUCAUGAAUACCAGACAGUAAACUGCAAUGAGAAAGCAGUUUUACAAUGCAACAUCAGCAACAGGGCAGAGCAGUUUAACCUUAUGAAAACAAACUGGAAAAAACUCGAAGAAGGAAGUUUUGAAUGUGAUCCAACAUCCAACAACACCUCUCCAGAAUUUAAAUGUGACUACACAAAGAAGGAAUUAACAUUAACUAUUUUACAUCCUAAACCGGCAAACAUGGGCAAAUACUACUGCAGUAUACGAACAGAUUCAGGACAUGACUCAAAGACAAUCAUUGUGUCUAUGAAAGGUGAAUGCACUGGAGAUUUCAUCUGGAUGGCCGAAUCUGAUCAUUUUCAAUGUUCAUUUAAUGGCAUUUACCCAGAGGGCACAAUUUACUGGUUUUAUUAUGAUAAUAACGUCACUUCUUACUCUACAAUAACAAACUUGACCAAUUCAGAUGGGACAUUCAACAUCACAAGUGUCCUAAGGCCCAAAGACAGAAUGGGAAAAUAUAAUUGCUCUCUUUGGCUGCUCAAAAAUGGACAAUACCUAAAAAACCAAGAUUUUGAAUUGUCAGAUUUAGUGCACUCCAGAUUAUUUAGCAGAAUUAAUAGACAACAUUGCUCACCCUGGACACCACUUCUUGUUGGCCUGAUGUUUUCAUUAAGAAACUUUCUGUAGUCUUUGAGACUCUCAAGCAAAUAUGAGAACAGAACCCAGAAAUGUACACAUUUUAAUAGAACUAGAAUGUAAAAUAUUUUGAUCAAAAAAGUAAAUUACUACAUUUUAUGUGAUCAUUUGUCAUUCAGUUGCCUGUGAUGCUGAGAUAGAAAAGGGAAAAGGGAUCUUUAACAAAUCACUUUUGUUUUUCUUUGAUUUGUUUUAUUUGUUUCGUCUCAUAGAUUUGUAAUAUACUGUAACAUACAUUGAUACCUGUGAUAUAAAAACUAGUUUCUGUGAUAGAUACAGGUCAAACAAAUU